CCUACGGGAGGCAGCAGUGAGGAAUAGUGGUCAAUGGGCGGGAGCCUGAACCAGCCAAGUCGCGUGAGGGAUGACGGCCCUAUGGGUUGUAAACCUCUUUUGCCGGGGAGCAAAGUGCCGCACGUGGGCGGUUUGGAGAGUACCCGGAGAAAAAGCAGCGGCUAACUCAGUGCCAGCAGCCGCGGUAAUACGGAGGAUGCGAGCGUUAUCCGGAUUUAUGGGGUUUAAAGGGUGCGUAGGCGGACGCUUAAGUCAGCGGUAAAAUUGCGGGGCUCAACCUCGUCGAGCCGUGGAAACUGGGUGCCUUGCGUGGGCUAGCAGUACGCGGCAUGCGUUGUGUAGCGGU
rnacentral:rRNA from 1 species